UACGGGGGGAGCAAGCGUUGUUCGGAUUUACUGGGCGUAAAGGGCGCGUAGGCGGCCACCGCAAGUCAGUUGUGAAACUCUCUGGGCUUAACCCAGAAAGGUCAACUGAUACUGCGGGGCUAGAGUGCAGAAGGGGCAACUGGAAUUCUCGGUGUAGCGGUGAAAUGCGUAGAUAUCGAGAGGAACACCUGCGGCGAAGGCGGGUUGCUGGGCUGACACUGACGCUGAAGCGCGAAAGCUAGGGGAGCGAACGGG
rnacentral:rRNA from 1 species